rnacentral:piRNA from 1 species
UCCAAGGCUCAACUUGUAAAUGUGAUCUAA